AGCGAACGCUGGCGGCAAGCUUAACACAUGCAAGUCGAACGAUGUAGCAAUACAUAGUGGCGGACGGGUGCGUAACACGUGGGUAUCUGCCUUUAGGUAAGGAAUAACUCAGGGAAACUUGAGCUAAUACCUUAUAAUGUCUUCGGACCAAAAAUUUAUUGCCUAAAGAUGAGCCCGCGGUAGAUUAGCUAGUUGGUGGGGUAAUGGCCUACCAAGGCAACGAUCUAUAGCUGGUCUUAGAGGAUGAUCAGCCACACUGGGACUGAGACACGGCCCAGACUCCUACGGGAGGCAGCAGUGGGGAAUAUUGGGCAAUGGACGAAAGUCUGACCCAGCUAUGCCGCGUGAAUGAUGAAGGCCUUAGGGUUGUAAAGUUCUUUUACCGGGGAAGAUAAUGACGGUACCCGGAGAAAAAGCUCCGGCUAACUUCGUGCCAGCAGCCGCCGUAA
rnacentral:rRNA from 1 species